rnacentral:rRNA from 1 species
AGAGAGAGACAUGCGCGCAUAUCAAUAAGCGGAGGAAAAGAAACUAACAAGGAUUCCCUUAGUAACGGCGAGUGAAGCGGGAAGAGCUCAAAUUUGAAAUCUUCAAGGUUCUACCUUGACGAAUUGUAGUUUAUAGAAGUGUUUUCUGUUAGGUGUAUUGGCUAAAAGUUCUUUGGAAUAGGACAUCAUAGAGGGUGAGAAUCCCGUAUUUGUACCAUUCCUCCUAGCGUUGUGAUACACUUUCAACGAGUCGGAUUGUUUGGGAAUGCAGUCCAAAAUGGGUGGUAAAUUUCAUCUAAAGCUAAAUAUUGGCGAGAGACCGAUAGCGAACAAGUACCGUGAGGGAAAGAUGAAAAGAACUUUGAAAAGAGAGUUAAACAGUACGUGAAAUUGUCAAAAGGGAAGCGUUUGACACCAGUGUUGUUUUUCCGAAAAUCAAUUACGAAUGUUUUAGUUUUUGAGGAAGUUAUGACUUCAUCGGCUUGCUCCUUUCUUUAUGAAACUUUCUUAAUGCACUUUUCGGUUAACAAGUCAACAUCAAUUUCUUUUGUUGUAAAAGGGAUAUGAGGAAGGUGGCUUUCUUUUCGGAGAAAGUGUUUAUAGCCUCGUGCCUCUGCAAUCGGAGAGAUUGAGGUCUGCAGCGUAGAUCCUUCGGGGUUAGAUACAGUUAGAUGCUAAGUUAUAGCUUUUCAUAGACAACUUGUUGACUAUGAUUUAAUCAUUGUAGCUUACUCGCUUAUGGCUAUUUUACCUACGCUUAGGAUGUUGAUAGUCACAGCGUGUAC